rnacentral:rRNA from 1 species
GGAUGAACGCUGGCGGCGUGCUUAACACAUGCAAGUCGAACGGAAAGGCCCAAGCUUGCUUGGGUACUCGAGUGGCGAACGGGUGAGUAACACGUGGGUGAUCUGCCCUGCACUUCGGGAUAAGCCUGGGAAACUGGGUCUAAUACCGGAUAGGACCACAUUUUGGAUGGUGUGGUGGAAAGUUUUUCGGUGUGGGAUGAGCUCGCGGCCUAUCAGCUUGUUGGUGGGGUAAUGGCCUACCAAGGCGUCGACGGGUAGCCGGCCUGAGAGGGUGUACGGCCACAUUGGGACUGAGAGACGGCCCAGACUCCUACGGGAGGCAGCAGUGGGGAAUAUUGCACAAUGGGCGCAAGCCUGAUGCAGCGACGCCGCGUGGGGGAUGACGGCCUUCGGGUUGUAAACUCCUUUCGCUAGGGACGAAGCGUUAUGUGACGGUACCUGGAGAAGAAGCACCGGCUAACUACGUG